rnacentral:lncRNA from 1 species
AUGGUGCAUGCGGACCUAAGCUGCGACUAUGUUAGAGUAGAACUGCGGAGAAGCCUCGGCUCUCGUGCCCUGCCUCUGAUGAAGCCUGUGUUGGUAUGGUGCUGGGUGCAGAUGCAGUGUGGCUCUGGAUAGCACCUUAUGGACAGUUGUGUCCCCAAGGAAGGAUGAGAAUAGCUACUGAAGUCCUAAACAGCAAGCCUAACUCAAGCCAUUGGCACACAGGCAUUAGACAGAAAGCUGGAAGUUGAAAUGGUGGAGUCCAACUUGCCUGGACCAGCUUAAUGGUUCUGCUCCUGGUAACGUUUUUAUCCAUGGAUGACUUGCUUGGGUAAGGACAUGAAGACAGUUCCUGUCAUACCUUUUAAAGGUAUGGAGAGUCGGCUUGACUACACUGUGUGGAGCAACUUUUAAAGAAGCAAAGGACUCAGAAUUCAUGAUUGAAGAAAUGCAGGCAGACCUGUUAUCCUAAACUAGGGUUUUUAACGACCACAACAAGCAAGCAUGCAGCUUACUGCUUGAAAGGGUCUUGCCUCACCCAAGCUGGAGUGCAGUGGCCUUUGAAGCUUACUACAGCCUCAAACUUCUGGGCUCAAGUGAUCCUCAGCCUCCCAGUGGUCUUUGUAGACUGCCUGAUGGAGUCUCAUGGCACAAGAAGAUUAAAACAAUGUCUCCAAUUUUAAUAAAUUU